rnacentral:rRNA from 1 species
GACAGAGGGUGCAAACGUUGCUCGGAAUUACUGGGCGUAAAGCGCGCGUAGGCGGCUUUGCAAGUCGAUUGUGAAAUCCCCAGGCUUAACCUGGGAACUGCAUUCGAGACUGCAUAGCUAGAGUAUGGGAGAGGGAAGUGGAAUUUCAGGUGUAGCGGUGAAAUGCGUAGAUAUCUGAAGGAACAUCAGUGGCGAAAGCGACUUCCUGGACCAAUACUGACGCUCAUGUGCGAAAGCGUGGGGAGCAAACAGG